UACGUAGGGUGCAAGCGUUGUCCGGAAUUAUUGGGCGUAAAGAGCUCGUAGGCGGUCUGUCGCGUCGGACGUGAAAAUCCAGGGCUCAACCCUGGACCUGCGUUCGAUACGGGCAGACUAGAGUUCGGUAGGGGAGACUGGAAUUCCUGGUGUAGCGGUGAAAUGCGCAGAUAUCAGGAGGAACACCGAUGGCGAAGGCAGGUCUCUGGGCCAUAACUGACGCUGAGAAGCGAAAGCAUGGGGAGCGAACAGG
rnacentral:rRNA from 1 species